GCAUGUAAUGAAACAACACAGUUGUUCAUGUAAAAAACCAUUACUCAAUUUUUAUCAUUUAAAUAAUAGUGUUUUUUUUUAUAUAAACAAUUUUUUUUUCAACAUAAUAUUAAGUAGUUAAUUUUUAAAUUAAUAAAUCAGUAUCACAUUAAUUAUUAUUAAAGCUAAAUCAAGUUUUAUUGUUAAUAGUGCAACAACAUUAUUACAGGUGUAACUGAUACCUAUAUUUUUUUUAAUAAUGUAUACAAAUAUCAAAAUAAUGAUGAUUUUGUCAUUAAAUCAUGAUAAUUUUUGGUGUGUAUGUUUAUCAUAAAACUAAUUAACAAUCAGUGUAAUCAGCAUAAACAUUUAGUAACCUAAAAAAUUAUGUAGGUGCUAUUUUUAUUACCUAUAUAAAAAUAAAAAAUAAAUUUGUUCAAGCAUAAUUAUCAUUGUUGCAUGUGUUGAUAAAUUAUUCAUAUUUUAUGAUAAAAAAAUUAGUUUAACAAAAAAAAAUUUAAACUAAAAAUUAUAUGAUGGUAUUGGUAGAUAGUUUACGACAAUAAUAUUGGUACACGUUGAUAGUGCGUCAAUCAAGUCAAAUUGAAACACAAACAUUUAUAUAUUGCCUAGGUGGAAAAAAAAAAUAAAAAAAAAAAACAAUUAUAAAAUAAACAUACUUGAAAUUAACUGUCAAACAUCAUAUAAAAAGUAUAUAUUGAAUAGUUUUAUCUACAAACAACAAGGCAACCAUCAUCGUCAUCUUGCUUGUUGUAAUUUAUAAAAAUAAUAUUAUUAAAAAUUCAUAGACAAGCUGAUUUUAAAAUCGUUGUCAAGUAUUACAUUUUUAAUUAACUUUGGAAGCUAUUACAUUUGGAGCAAGCAAUUCUAUUAAUAAUUUAAUUGAUGAAAUGAAAAAAAGUUAAUCAUUAAAAAAAAAAUAAAAUCAUCAUUAUUAGG